rnacentral:rRNA from 1 species
UACAGAGGGUGCGAGCGUUGUUCGGAAUUAUUGGGCGUAAAGGGCGCGUAGGCGGUGCGGAUAAGGUCACCCUGUGAAAUCUCCUGGCUCAACUGGGAGCUUGCAGGCGAAAACUGCCGUGCUGGAGUGUGGGAGAGGUGCGUGGAAUUCCUGGUGUAGCGGUUGAAAAUGCGUAGAUAUCAGGAGGAACACCCUGUGGCGAAAGCGGCGCACUGGACCACAACUGGACGCUGAGGCGCGAAAGCUAGGGGAGCAAACAGG